UCCUCCUAAACAAGCCAAAUGUCCAGGAAUGGAUAGACUCCACAGUAAGAUUUUGUGAUUUUGGUGUCUAAAGCUGUCUUCAUUUUUUUUUUUUUAUUCCACCUCGUCCACCCACUCCAGCCAGCUGAAAUUCCCUGUUCCAAAAGUAUGGACAGAAGAUGUCAGGAACGUGUGAGAACUCCCCCAGACGGUCUUUUGGAGUCACCCUGCCCUCCCAGACAAUUUUGGUGCUGGCUGCCUCCAGGAACCUGACUCUCUCAGUCUCUUACUGUUUCGCUCCGUGGGUCAAGUCUCUGCAAAGCCUUCACGCUGAGCCUUGCCUUGCAGGCAGCCUUUGUGAGGCAGUCAUCAUGGCUCAGCUAACUGCAGCAGGAAGAGGCAGACAUGGAGCUAAAAGCACAGCAGCUGGGAUUCCAGGAAAGCAGGAAGUUCUGCAGUUAGCAUCAGCAGCAUUAGAACAGACUCAUACAAACCCCCGUCUCUGAGAAGUCCAGUCCUAGAAGGACCGAGUUACUGGGGCAAGACUCAUAUGGAGCAGGGUGAAGAACAACACUUUGCUGCAACAAUCCAGUGAGAAGGCAAUCAUCUGUAAAGCAGGAAGAGAGCCUUCCCCAGGAGCUGAAUCUGCCAGCAUCUUGAUCUUGGACUUCCCAGCCUCCAGAACCACCAGAGAGAAAUGCCUGUUGUCUGAACCACCGAGGUCACUUUGCAUAGACGAGAAGAACUUGAGGCUGAGCCUUUACCUAUGGUCUGUUGGAACCUAAGGAAGCCAGUUCAUUUCUCCCAAUCUCAAUGUCCUCAUCUGUAAAAGUAGGGAAAUUAUACUGGGCUUGCUGGGUUGGUUUGUGUGUGUAUGUGUGAACUAUAAAUACUUGAAAACGACUACCCCUUUCAGAAAGGGUUACUACUGCUAUUACUGUUAUCUGUGCCUUUAUGUAUGUAUAACUGAUCUGUCUCCUCUACUAGGCUAUGCAUUUGAGAGCAAGAAUUGUGUCUGUAUUGCUAACAGCAAUUCCAGCGCCUAACAAAGAGGAGGUGCUGUGGAGGCCAAAGCAACUCCAACUUGCAUGCUAAUCCAUCACUUUAACUUCUGAUUAACCUUGUUCUAGGAAGUCCUCUAAGAUUUCCAGUUUAUUUGAUGUUUCUUGUGUGAGAGUAGGUACCUACUGUAAAUCCUGCCCUGAGGUCAAAACAACCUUGAUGUUAUAGGACUUCAAUUGUUCUACACAAACAUUUUGAAUCACAUAUACCCUUUCCCAGUAUUAUAUAAGCCCUGCUCAUGAGAAUAAAUGGUGCAGGAUCCACCAUCUUGCCUCACCGCUGCCUGAGACACAGACAUGGCUUCUGUUUGUAAGUCCCUAUUAAGUGUAUAUUUCUGAGGAACCGGAUAUGUCAGCCUUUUUCUUCAGCCUCUCAGCUUCCUUGGACUUUUGGGGUAGGUUUGCCGAGGCCUGGCCCCCAUGGAACAGGUGCUCCAUCAAGGAGUAAGUGCUGAGCAUUUAGAUUCAGGUGAGGGGCAGCAGCCACCAGGAAAGAAGAGUCUAUGCAUAAUUACCUGCCCUACUUCCUGAGUCAGGGGUUCUCAAAUUCUUUGUGUUCAGGACACAUUUGAAGAGCCGGCACAUUCAGACAACAGUGACUCAGCAAUCAUUGCACUUAAUCCCUACUACUGAAGAACAACAUCUCAUAAUGUCUACAAAAGCAACCACUAUGAUCCCACCAUUUACUGGGAUGGCUUCAGCACUGCAGUUAGAAGGUGGAACGCUGACUGCCCGAAUGUCCUUCCUCUAAUAUACACAAGAAGAAUUCUCACCUGUCUAGUUAACCACUAUAUUUAUUGGUCCCUGGCUUGACAACAUACCUCUUACCUCCUCACAGCACUACAUAGUGUGUUGGCAUGCAGUCAUGUUUCAGGCAGGCACUUCAAAUUUGCCCUUGGAAUUCCAGGAUUUUGCUUUUGCAGUUUCUAAUUGUCAGCAAUCCUGAAGGCCCUUGACAUGUGGUCAUUUGUAAUUUUGCUGAGAUGUAAUUUUUUUUUUUUUUUUUUGAGACAGAGUCUCGCUCUGUCGUCCAGGCUGGAGUGCAGUGGCGUGAUCUCAGCUCACUGCAAUCUCCGCCUCCCGGGUUCAAGCAAUUCUCCUGCCUCAGCCUCCUGAGUAGCUGAGAUUACAGGCACAUGCCACCACGCCCAGCUAAUUUUUGUAUUUUUACUACAGAUGAGGUUUCACCAUGUUGGUAAGGCUGGUCUCGAACUCCUAACGUCAUGAUCCACCCACCUUGGCCUCCCAAAGUGCUGGGAUUACAGGCAUGAGCCACUGUGCCCGGCCUGAGAUGUCAAUUUUUAAAAAUUAGUUUAUAAGUAAUACAUAAGUAUAUGUAUCCAAAAUGUCUAUACAAUAAAAAAAUAUGGAAGAAAACCUGUGGAAGUUUUCCUUAUUGGUACCAGUCACAGUAGGCCAUGUUAUACUACAGUAACAAAUGUGUCCAAACCUCAGUAACUUUAUUCAUUUAUUUAUUUAUUUGUCCUGUAUUGUGCAGGCUGGUCUUAAACUUCUGGCCUUAAUCAAUCCUCCUACCUCAGCCUCCCAAAGUGCUGGGAUUACAGGUGUGAGGUUUUUUUCUUGUUCACACUACAUGUUUUUCUAUUUUUAUUUUUCUUUUUAAAAAUUAUUUAUUUAUUUAUUUUGAGACAGCGUCUGGCUCUUUCGCCCAAGCUGGAGUGCAGUGGAGCGAUCUUGGCUCACUGCAAACUCUGCCUCUUGGGUUCAAGCAAUUCUCCUACCUCAGCAUCCCGAGUAGCUGGGAUUACAGGUGCACACCACCAUGCCCAGCAAAUUUUUGUAUUUUAGUAGAGACAGGGUUUCACCAUGUUGGCAGGGCUGGCCUCAAACUCCUGACCUCAGGUGACCUGCCUACCUCUGCCUCCCAAAGUGCUGGGAUUACAGGCAUUAGCCACUGCACCCAGCCUUUAUUAAUUUUUUAUUUUUUAUUUGAGAUGGAGUCUUGUUCUGUUGCUCAGGCUGGAGUGCAGUGGCACAAUCUCAGCUCACUGCAACCUCCGCCUCCCGGGUUCAAGCGAUCCUCCCACCUCAGCCUCACAAGUAGCUGGGGUUACAGGCACAUGCCACCAUACCUAGCUAAUUUUUGUACUUUUAGUAGAUACAGGGUUUCACCAUGUUGGCCAGGCUGGUCUCAAACUCCUGACCUCAAGUGAUCUGCCCACCUUGGCCUCCUACAGUGCAGGGAUUACAGGCCUGAGCCACGGCGCCUGGCCAUGCAUGUUUUUCAUGAGUCCACUACAGCUCUGCUUUUUACCAUCUUGACUCCAGAACCAAAACUGAUGGAAGAACCUAACCUCUAUCUGAAAUAUCACCAAUCUCGUGGCAGAAGGAAAAAGACAAGGCAAAGGGUGCCCUAACUUCUAAAACUUUGCACAAAAAUGACCAACAUCAGUUAUUGGCCAAAGCAAGUAAUAUGGUCAUUCCUGAGGUCAACAGUGUGGGAAAAUAGCCUCCUGCAGAGAGGGGCACUGCAGGGCAAGAAACUGGAAUAUUUGGUAACGGAGAAUACCAUCGUCCAGCACCUCCUCCAACAACUACUUCUCUCCCAGAAGCAACUGUUCUAGACAGUUCAGUGUGCAUCCUUUCAGUCUCCUUUCCUAUAUAUUUGCUGACAUAUCUCUACAGGCGUACACAUAAAUGUCGAAUUUUGCACGUAUUUUUCUGCAACUUGCUCUGUUCACUUAAUAUGCUUUGGAGACCUUUCAUCUCAGUAUGCAUAAGUCUACCCGACUCUCUCUAACAAUAGCAUGGUAUUUCAUACCAUAAUAUAUUUAAAUUCUUGGUAUACAUUUUGGAUCUUUUCAAUAUGUUUUGAUAUUACAAAUAAUGCUGCAAUAUGUAUUCAUAUAGAUGCACAUAUCUUUGUGAAUAUAUGUAUUUCGGAAUGAUAGGUUUCUAGAAAUAAGUUGUUAAAGUAUGUAUGCAUUGCAGUUUUUAAUAGAUACUAGCAAUUUGCCUUGAAAAAUGCCUUCAUCAAUGUUCACAGCCAGUAGAAAAAUAAAAGUGCCUGAUUUCCCAAAUCUUCAACAACUCAAUAUUAUCAAUUUUUUUCUCUUCUGUAUAUCUGAUGGAUUUUAAGAGGGUAAUUCAUUGUUUGAAUAUACUUAAUAUGU